UUCCGGUUGAUCCCGCCGGACCCCACUGCUAUCGAGAUGGGACUAAGGUAUGCUAGUCGAACGACCAGAACUAUGUCUGGGAGUGGCACACUGCUCAGUAACACGUAGCUAACCUACCCUUAGGACGUGGAUACCCCCGAGAAAUUGGGGUUAAUCCGCGAUAGAUGUAAUGUCCUGGAAUGGUAUUACGUCUAAAGGUAUUUCAUACAUGUUUGAAAUAUGCCUAAGGAUGGGGCUGCGGCCGAUCAGGCUGUUGGUGAGGUAAUGGCUCACCAAACCUUUGACCGGUACGGGCCAUGAGAGUGGUAGCCCGGAGAUGGACACUGAGACAAGGGUCCAGGCCCUAAGGGGCGCAGCAACCGCGAAACCUCCACAAUGCACUCACGUGCGAUGGGGCUAUCUCGAGUGCCACCUGAUGAAGGUGGCUUUUCCUAGGUCUUCAAAGCCUUGGGAAUAAGAGGGGGGCAAGACUGGUGUCAGCCGCCGCGGUAACACCAGCCCCUCGAGUGGUGGGGAUGAUUAUUUGGCCUAAAGCGUCCGUAGCCGGCCGAGCAAGUCUUCCGUUAAAUCCAGCGUCUCAAGCGUUGGACUGCGGGAGAUACUGCAGGGCUAGAGAGUGGGAGAGGUCAGCGGUAUUCUGGGGGUAGGGGCGAAAUCCUUUGAUCCCCGGAGGACCACCAGUGGCGAAGGCUGCUGACUAGAACACGUCUGACGGUCAGGGACGAAAGCUGGGGUAGCGAACCGGAUUAGAUACCCGGGUAGUCCCAGCCGUAAACGAUGCAUGCUAG
rnacentral:rRNA from 1 species